ACCAGCAUGGCUUAGUGGUUUAAGUGUUGGACUGUGAUUCUGGAGAGGACGGUUUGAUUCCCUGUUCAGGCA